AGGGAUCCCCUCCCUCAGCCAGCGACACACACACACACUCAUCCUCUCCCUGUGGCUCUCACACACACACAUACACGCACACACACACUCUCUCUCUGCUCCAUGAGGCAGCAGUCGCUGAGCAGCUCUGGAUAGACCACGCGAGGUUCUGCAGGUGUCCCACCCUUCUCUUGAGGCAGGGAUGCUCCAGAAGUGAUGGAAUCAGGAGAAUGGUUGAGAAAGAAGAGGAUGCAAAGAGAGAUUCAACAAAGCACUCCAGGUCACGCUCUACAGCAAGAUGCCGCGACAGCAUGCAGAGGACAAUUGCUUGUUCAGCGAAUGUCCAGGACUCUAAUGAAGUGCUGAAGCAAAAGCUACAGGGUGAGAGGCCAUGAGGGACAUUUGCUCUUCUUUACUGUGAACGACAUCCGAUGGACAAAAAAAUACCAUAUGUAUGUGUUUGCUAAGGUCAGAGGCUGAAAGCUGGUCAGUGGGUGAGCUGCACGGGAUGCCUGGGUGACAUCUGACCUCUGACUGGGCGUGCGGGUUGACCUUUGAGGACAAGGUCCGACAAUGCAAGGCACGUGCCGUGGCCUAAUCUCCAUGGUAACGUAAGACCUUUCAGGAAAUGGUGGGGAGCAGGGUCAGAGUUGUCUUUAUGUUGAUUGUUGUAAGACAUCUGCUGUCGAUUGACUCGCUGAAUGUAUGCAAAACGGCUUUUUUACGACAAACAGGGCCCAGGAAAGGAAGCUAAAGGCUAACUGGGUAAUCUCUGCAGGCAACUGUGAUGAUGCAUCUUGUUCUCACAAUCACCUGGAGAGAUUCUGCGGUUUGCCUUGCACUCGGUUUUGCAGAGGUUUUUCUUUUCUUUUUCUUUUUUUUUAUCUUACAGUUCAUUUAUAAGAUUAGAAAAACGCAUUGUUAUCUAAACUGACUAAAUAUGUGAUUCUGUAAUCAAAAAGUGGUUUUGUAAUCUAUCUUAAUAAAGGAGUCUUUUAAAACAA